ACCUGUAUUGACUGACCAGAUGAAACAAUCUGCUGUAAGAGCUGGAUUGGUUGACACUGUUAUCUUAGCAUGUAGAGAGAAGCAGGGAACCACAGCUCUGCUCUGAGAGUACUUCAAGAGAUGAAAUCUGGUCCUCAGACCCUGCACUGCAAGAUGGUCAAUCCACUUCAUUUGCUUCAAGCAAAUAUCUUACAUGCAGAUAGGAGAGAACUUUUGUUUUGAUGACAGCAGCUGUUAUUUCAGUGUAAGUGUCAUACAGCUCUCAUGCUGUUUUGAGUUGUAUCUAAAUGAAUUAAAAAUAUGGUGCUUUUCAUAACCUUCAACAGGUGCAUGCAUUUUCUGCUAUCCUGAAAAUGAACAUCUUAUUGGAGCACACUAACUGGUUGAUGAAUUAAGUAACAUUACUAGAGGAAAAUGUAAUCAUCAUGAAAUUAAUAAACGUAUUCCUGAUAUA